GAGUUUGAUCUUGGCUCAGAAUGAACGCUGGCGGCGUGCCUAACACGUGCAAGUCGAUCGGUAACGCGGGGGCAACCCUGGCGACGAGAGGCGGACGGGUGAGCAAUGCUUGGGAAUCUGCCCAUCAGCGGGGGACAACCCGGGGAAACUCGGGCUAAUACCGCAUACGCUCUACGGAGGAAAGCCGGGGACCGCAAGGCCUGGCACUGAUGGAUGAGCCCAAGUCGGAUUAGCUAGUUGGCGGGGUAACGGCCCACCAAGGCGACGAUCCGUAGCUGGUCUGAGAGGACGAUCAGCCACACCGGAACUGAGACACGGUCCGGACUCCUACGGGAGGCAGCAGUGGGGAAUAUUGGACAAUGGGGGAAACCCUGAUCCAGCGACGCCGCGUGGGUGAAGAAGGCCUGCGGGUUGUAAGCCCUUUCGGUAGGGACGAAAGCUUCCGACCUAACACGUCGGAGGUUGACUUAACCUACAGAAGAAGCACCGGCUAACUCUGUGCCAGCCGCCGCCGUAA
rnacentral:rRNA from 1 species